AGAGAGGUUGAGAGCCUUGCCCAGGAUCACACAGCUGCACAGGAGGCCCAAGUCACCCCGGGAGGCACCGCCUUUGGCCCAAGACCCAACCAGCACCCCAGUUCUCCAGCCUAACAGGGCUUCACCCAAUGACCACUGAGUUCCCAUGGAAGACUGCAUGGAGGAGGCAUCCUUUAAGGGUCAUUCACUGUGGG